GCGAAACUCAACGAAAGAUAAAGGUAAAGAAGCAUUUCGUGUUCCCGGGACAUUGAUGGGACACAGUGUCGUCACCUUUAUUAUGCAGUUUCUCGCAACACUCACAGAUUAGCUCAAGACAGCGGCUUGCUCGCUUUCUUGCGGACAUGACGGAGCACUUCUAGGACAUUAUUGAACUUACAUUUCAUUGGACGAUUUCAGCCAAUCCCCACUACGGUUAUAUCGUCUGAUGGAAAUUUUAACUGCGAUUUUGACGACUUGUAGAAGCCGAAUAAAUCUUGACUUUCUGUGGAGAAAUAAUAGUAAAGCCAAAACAAUGCCAAGGUCACGCAGAAAGCGUUCUUACAGCAGGGACAGUUCCUAUGAUUGUGAAUAUCGCCACAAAAGGCACCGAGGUGGCACAUAUGAUGACUAUUAUGACAUUAGAUCACGCCACUCUAGAUCUAGAAGUCUAGAACGAUAUGAUUCAUAUGGUCGUCGGCAUGACUACACAGACACCAGUAUUACCGAGAUCGCU